GCUAGAUGUCAGGAGAGUAUUGCGGCAAUUUUUGUUUGUCUGGUCAGUCAAUGAUCGGGCAUAUCGCUGGCAAUCACCGAAGGCGUAAAAACCCUACAAUCGCUCAGGUUCAUGGACUGAACAUCACGC
rnacentral:ncRNA from 1 species